rnacentral:lncRNA from 1 species
UUCUUUAGGGAUCGCAUCGGCUACUAGUUAAGAAAUUCACUAUUUCUUUGAUAUGCUCUUGUUUGUUGUAAGUCAUACUAAUAGUUCCAUAGAUAAAUUUGUUAAUUGCCAAUUUAAAUUCUGAAGACGAUAGUUUUAGAAGAUAAUAUGUAUAAUUUUGGUCAAGGGUUGUAGACAUUUUAUAUUCAAAGGACCAGUUCAUAUUUAAACUGAACAAGUUGGUCCAUUUUUGUACUUGCUGCACUCCAUCUUUAUGAAGCCAUAACCAAGUCCAAACAUGAAUGAAUCAACUGAAAAUUUCUUACAUGUUUCUUUUUGCUAUGUUACAGUAUCGUUG